UUUCUUAUUUUUGUCAUUUAU
rnacentral:piRNA from 1 species